UAACUAUCUAAAUUAUAAGAGUUGCCAUAUUCAGACAAAAGAGAAGAGUUUUUAAUUUGGCUGGUAACCUCGGUUUCUAAACCAAUAAACCAUGUGUAGAGUCCACGAAAAAGAUAAGCCAAGAGGUACCCGAAAACUAGACGUUAAGAUUAAAAUCUCGGAACUAGAGGGUGAAUUACAACGAAUGAAACCACCCCACACCUCCAAAACGCAGAAGUCUUCCACAAAGUGGGAUACGCCUAUGGAGGUGUUCUCGAAAUCCUGACGACGCACCCCUGUGCUCACCGAAAGGACACGGAAG